GCUUGUGACAUGAGUCUUGUUGGAUAUCUGAGCUCUUUUCUAGGCAGAAAUGUGAAUUAGUUGGUUUCCUGGCAUGAACACAGCAGCUAAUUUUCAAUAAGGUAGGGUCGCCUGAUUUAUCCCUUCCAAAAGCAGGUUUGAUGAUUGUUUGUGAUCAUUGUCCAACAGGAACAUCCAAGUUUCUAAAUACCCCACCCAAGUGGUCACCAUCUGAAGGAAGGAACUUUGUUAGAAUACUCAGGAAUGAUCCAGGAAUCACCAAGGGUCAAUCCUGCCAUCAUCUGAAACCUGCACUGUCCACAUUGCAGACAACAACAAAUCAAAUGCCUUCAGGAGAGAAGAUUAAUGAUCAGAAUGACCAAGACUGAGCUCUUUGACCACAGUGAAGUGAGGAAUGUUUGGAAAGGUCAAGACCUACGACCCAUCCUUAAGCUGGUGAAGAGAAGAAGUCAACGUCAAAGUAAUUUCGUAGGUGUAUUUAGAGGUCUGGGCAGGGUGAGGCAUAGUUUAAAGUGAUUUAGAAUCACCAGUAGUUAAUCCAAGGUGACCAACCUGUUGUAUGCAAUAUUAAUUGAAGUGUUUUAUGCUGAGCUGUUUUGAUUUGCUGUGCAAGUGUUGCUGAAUCAUGGACCGUGGAUGCGAUCAGCAAGGUGCAUGUUCAUGUUUCUGUCCAGCU